rnacentral:rRNA from 1 species
CCUACGUGUGGCAGCAGUGAGGAAUAUUGGUCAAUGGGCGAGAGCCUGAACCAGCCAAGUCGCGUGAAGGAUGACGGCCCUACGGGUUGUAAACUUCUUUUGUCAGGGAGCAAUUUGGUCCACGCGUGGGCUUAGCGAGAGUACCUGAAGAAAAAGCAUCGGCUAACUCCGUGCCAGCAGCCGCGGUAAUACGGAGGUUGCGAUCGUUAUCCGAAUUUAUUGGGUUUAAAGGGGGCGUAAGCGGAAUAUCAAGUCAGCGGGAAAAGUUCGGGGCUCAAACACGUCGUGCCGUUGAAACUGAUGGUCUUGAGUGGGCGUGAGGUAUGCGGAAUGCGUGGUGUAGCGGUGAAAUGCAUAGAUAUCACGCAGAACUCCGAUUGCGAAGGCAGCAUACCGGCGCCCAACUGACGCUGAAGCACGAAAGCGUGGGUAUCGAACAGGAUUAGAUACCCUGGUAGUC